rnacentral:rRNA from 1 species
UCAGAAGUGAAACGCCGUAGCGCCGAUGGUAGUGUGGGGUCUCCCCAUGCGAGAGUAGGACACUGCCAGGCAU